AAGAGGCGGCGUUGGUGGUUAUUUCAAGGGGAGUUUAGUAGUCAUGCUGGAAGAACUAAGAAAGAAAUUAGGUUUACAGAUCUCUCUUUUCCCUCUCCCUUCUUUCUCUCCUAUUUAGUUGAAUGGAGUAUGUAUAUGUUAUGGAGGUGGGUGAGGAAGACUGGGAAAAAGAAACCCACAAAGUAGCAAAGGCAAGCUACAGAUCUCUGAGUUUGAGGCCAACCUGGUCUGUAAUUAUGUUGUUUUGUUUUUUUGUUUUUUUUUUUUUAAGAUUUAUUAUAUGCUAGUACACUGUAGCUGUCUUCAGACAGACCAGAAGAGGGCGUCAGAUCUCAUUACGGAUGGUUGUGAGCCACCAUGUGGUUGCUGGGAUUUGAACUCAGGACCUUCAGAAGAGCAGUCAGUGCUCUUAACUGCUGAGCCAUCUCUCCAGCCCUGUAAUUAUGUUUCUUCCCUCCAUCCCUUCUACUUUCCAAAAGAAAAGAAAAAAAAGAAAAAAAAAUGGGAGCAAAAGAUACAGAUAGCCCAGAGCAGAUUCUUUGUUUUGGUUUUGAGACUGUACUUAUAUAGCCCAAGCUGGUGUUUUUGUUUAAGACAGGGUUUUCCUGGAACUCCAUUUGUAGACCAGAUUAGCCUCAAACCCAGCAAUGUAUCUGUCUCUAUUCUCUGAGUACUGGGAUUAAAGGCAUAUAUAUGCCUACCAUGCAUAGCUCCAUCCUGGUAUUUAUUUAUUUUAUUUUUCAAGACAGGGUUUCUCUGUGUAGCCCUGGCUGUCCUGGAACUCACUUUGUAGACCAGGCUGGCCUUGAACUCAGAAAUCCACCUGCCUCUGCCUCCCAAGUGCUGGGAUUAAAGGCAUGUGCCACCAUGCCCGGCUUCUGGUGUUUACUUUUUGAUUCUACUUCAGCACCCCAAACACAGGGAUUAUACCAUGUAUCACCAUGCCUGCCCAGGAUUUUUCUCUCUGUUCACAUGUAUAUCACAAAUGCGUAUAGUAGUGUCCAGCCUGACUGUUUGUUGUUUGCCUAGAUGAGUGACUGGCAAGAAGUUGGUUGUUUAACUGAGUGACUAGUUGUAAGGAACAUUGUGGACUUUGAUAAUGAGUGUAGAAUCAUCUUGACUGGUCUGGAGGACACAGUUUGAUCUGGAAUGUGGAUGGGACGGGCUAGAUGCUUAGAAGGCAGCUGGUAUGGCUCUCUAAUACAAAUAUGCUGGUCUCCCAAAGAGUAGACCCCAUUUAAUGUGUGCUAUGGUGAUGUAAGAGUAUAAGAUUACUAUUGGGCUAUUACUACUUACUGCUUAAAAACUAUCCCACUGCAUUCUGUGUUGCUUUAUUCAGUUUGCUCCAAGGGCAAUGGGAAUGGACAAUUCUGGGACUCUUGUUGCAAACCCUGCAGAUACCAGUGCUGAUUUUCUUUCAGUUUUCAUUGUCCCACUGCAUUCUGAAGAACUUGAAGUGGCUUUGUCACCCACUUGGAUUGUGACCUUGUGUGAACUCCUAACUUCUGAGUUGUCAUUGUCUUAUCAGUAAGGCAGAUCUUGUGAUGAUCUUUUGUUUGCUUCUGUCAACUGAUGACACUGGCUUUUUCAAGGCCAAGACCACUGAAUUGGUUGAUCCAAGCUGGUGUGGGUAAAGUGAUAUUUGAGGUAUGUUUCAGUAGUGAAGAAAAGCAAUUCAUCUGAAGAACUGCUGGGAAUGCAUUCCGAAAAGUGGGAAUGCCAUUUAGAAAGUAGGCAUAGCCAAAGGAAAGGUCUCAGGUGUGGGCAGUGUACAACAGGUUAGGAGAACACAGGAGUAGAAUACUAUAGAAGUACUCAGUGGCCAAACAGGUCCUGUGUAGGCAUCUCAGGCAUUUAGGUUGUAGUCUAAGUUGUGUGCUAAGCUCUUGACUUUUCAAGCAGGGUGAUGACAAUACCCUGAGUUUGAUUUUGAAGAUCACACUGGGCACUGUUUAGGCAACAGGGCUUUGGAAGGCAGACUAGAAAGAGGCUUAUAAGGCUCUUUGUUUUGUGAGAGUAGACAAGGUGGUUGGGGUACACAAGGUAGAAAUGGACAUGGUAUGGAUGUGUUUAGAAUAUAUACUGGACAAAAACAAACGUGGCUAUGAGGAAAAGGGGAAUUCAGAGUUGUGAGUUUUUUUCUUAGUUUGUUUUUGAGAUAGGGUCUACUAUAUAGACCCAGCUGGCCCUGAACUCAUAGAUUCUAUCUAUCUGCUUCUGCAUCCUAAGUAUUGAGAUUAAAGAUGUACACCACCACAUCUGCUUAAAACUUUAAAAAAAAAAUAUGAAUGAGUGUUUUGUGUGUCUGGUGCUUAUGAGAUCAGAACAUGGCAUUGGAUACUCUAGAGUUGUAGCAGCAGAUAGUUGUUGGAAGUUGAAUCUGUGUCUUCUACAAGAGUAGUAAGUGCCCGCUUUCCAGCCUGUUUGUAUUUUAAGGUAAAGUCUCGGGGCCUGAGAGAUGGCUCAGUGGUUAAGAGCACUGGCUGAUCUUCCAGAGAACCGGAGUUCAAUUCUCAACAUCCACAUGGCACCUCCCAACUGUCUGUAACUCCAAGUGCGUUAGGGAUCUGACAUCCUUACAUAGACAUACAUAAGGCAAAACAUCAAUUUACUUAAAAAUAAAUCUUUAAAACAAAAUAGUCUCAUUCUGUAACUUAUAGACUGGCCUUACAUUCAUCACAGGUUACCUGCCUCACGUGGGAUUUUUAAGUAUAAGCUACCAUGACUAGCUAGGCAUCUGGUGACUGGUGGUGCAUUUACUAAAAAGGAGAAAGCAGCAAAGGAAAUGUGACCUUGAGAGAAUAGAUUAAGAGUUAAGUAGAAGAAAUUUUUUUUUAUGCAAGAAGCUUAAAUAGUAGAUAAAUAAAAAGCAGUUAAUGGGCGUUGUUUGUUUGUUUGGGUGCAAGAAAAGAAACGCAGGACCUGUGUUUGCUGCUCCCCACUCCCAGACCUUUUACUAUAUUUGAUAUAGUACUGAGUAUACAGUAAGCACUUAGUAGAUGCUCAGAUUUUACCUGUCCAGUCAGUAUUGUAGACUUUAUGAUAGCAUGUAGGUGUACUAAGGAGUUGGUGAGAGGUUAGAAGCUUUCAUCUGGAGUUCCUGUGUGGGAAAUGGUACUGAAGCUAGAACCCAAGGGAAGGAGCUGUUAUGGCAAACAAACCCAAAAGUGCAUUUGGGUCAGAAACUCGAGGAAGGUAGAGAGAGCUCAGUGAAAGUGAGUCCAGGGUCUGGAGAGGAGGAAGGUCCAACCUACUUAGAAAGUCUCUAGAAAUGCCUAGAUUUUACCAAGUAUUUUUCUCAUACUCACUAUUUAAAAGUUUUUAAGUUAUAUUUGUGUUUUCGGGGAUGGAUGCCUGAGUGUCAUAGCAUGCAUGUGGAGUUGUGAGUCCCUUGAAUGGAGGUUUUGAGCUUCUUUAUCUGCUGAGCCAUCUUGCUGGCCCUUAUACCUGUGGCCCCCACCCCCCCACC
rnacentral:lncRNA from 1 species